GACGAACGCUGGCGGCGUGCUUAACACAUGCAAGUCAACGAGAAGCUGAGGUACUUGUACCUUCGGUGGACAGUGGCGAACGGGUGAGUAACGCGUAGACAAUCUACCCUUUAGACCGGGAUAAUUCCUGGAAACAGGGGCUAAUACCGGAUGUUGUCUCGAAAUGGCAUCAUUUUGAGAUAAAAGGUUAUAAGCUACUAAAGGAUGAGUCUGCGUAUCAUUAGUUAGUUGGUAGGGUAACGGCCUACCAAGACGACGAUGAUUAGCUGGUCUGAGAGGAUGAUCAGCCACACUGGGACUGAGAUACGGCCCAGACUCCUACGGGAGGCAGCAGUGAGGAAUAUUGCGCAAUGGGGGAAACCCUGACGCAGCAACGCCGCGUGAGUGAUGAAUCUGUUCUGCAGUGUAAAGCUCUGUCGCUUGGGAAGAACUAUGCUCUUAGGAGGAGCAUUUGACGGUACCAAGUGAGAAAGCUCCGGCUAACUCCGUGCCAGCAGCCGCGGUAAUACGGAGGGAGCAAGCGUUGUCCGGAAUCAUUGGGCGUAAAGGGCAUGUAGGUGGGAUCUUAAGUCAGUUGUUAAAUUUUACAGCUUAACUGUAUUGUGCAAUUGAUACUGGGAUUCUUGAGUGUGAGAGGGGGCAGUGGAAUAUCUAGUGUAGCGGUGGAAUGCGUAGAUAUUAGAUAGAACACCUGAGGCGAAGGCGAUUGUCUGGCUCACAACUGACACUGAAAUGCGAAAGCAUGGGUAGCAAAUAGGAUUAGAUACCCUAGUAGUCCAUGCUGUAAACGAUGGGUACUAGGUGUUGGAAGGCAAGCCCUUUCAGUGCCGUAGCUAACGCGUUAAGUACCCCGCCUGGGGAGUGCGAUCGCAAGGUUGAAACUCAAAGGAAUUGACGGGGGCCCGCACAAGCGGUGGAGCAUGUGGUUUAAUUCGAUGCAACGCGAAGAACCUUACCUGGGCUUGAACUGUAUUUGACCGUUACAGAGAUGUAAUUUUUCGAUUUAUCGAACAGAUAUAGAGGUGCUGCAUGGCUGUCGUCAGCUCGUGUCGUGAGAUGUUGGGUUAAGUCCCGCAACGAGCGCAACCCUUAUCAUUAAUUGCCAGCGAGUAAAGUCGGGGACUUUAAUGAUACUGCCUGCGUUAAGCAGGAGGAAGGUGGGGAUGACGUCAAGUCCUCAUGGCCUUUAUGUCCAGGGCUACACACGUGCUACAAUGGUUAGUACAGAGUGCAGCGACCUUGCGAGAGGGAGCCAAUCACUAAAACUAAUCUAAGUUCGGAUUGCAGUCUGCAAACUCGACUGCAUGAAGUUGGAAUCGCUAGUAAUCGCGGAAUCAGCAUGCCGCGGUGAAUACGUUCCCGGGCCU
rnacentral:rRNA from 1 species